CCUACGGGAGGCAGCAGUGAGGAAUAUUGGUCAAUGGACGAGAGUCUGAACCAGCCAAGUAGCGUGAAGGAUGACUGCCCUAUGGGUUGUAAACUUCUUUUAUAAAGGAAUAAAACGAGGCACGUGUGCCUCUUUGCAUGUACUUUAUGAAUAAGGAUCGGCUAACUCCGUGCCAGCAGCCGCGGUAAUACGGAGGAUCCGAGCGUUAUCCGGAUUUAUUGGGUUUAAAGGGAGCGUAGAUGGGUUGUUAAGUCAGUUGUGAAAGUUUGCGGCUCAACCGUAAAAUUGCAGUUGAUACUGGCAUCCUUGAGUACAGUAGAGGUAGGCGGAAUUCGUGGUGUAGCGGUGAAAUGCUUAGAUAUCACGAAGAACCCCGAUUGCGAAGGCAGCUUACUAGCCUCUGACUGACAUUGAUGCACGAAAGUGUGGGUAUCGAACAGGAUUAGAUACCCGAGUAGUC
rnacentral:rRNA from 1 species